AAUCUAAAGCAAAUGUGUUCAUCAUGGUUUCAUCAGAGACAAACAGACUUCAGAUAUGGAUUGCUGGAACCAUGUCCUCUGGUCUGAUGACACCAACAUGAACACAUUUUUUCGGAUGGUGUCAAGCAUGUGUGAUCUUAACCAAGUGAGUAGUACAAAGUAAACUGUCCCAUGCUCAUGGUCAAGUAGUGGUAGUGAGACAGACAUGGUUUUAGGCUGGAUGCAUGGCGUCAAUAUUGGAAAUCUGAAUUUCACCAACAUGUACCAUGACAAUUGAAGCAGAUCAUGAUACAGUCUGUGAUUUUAAAGGUGCAGAGUGAUUUUUUAAGUAGUUUAUUUCCAGAACUCAUGCUGCACAGGUUACAAAUGUUCUCCUUUUUUAUUCUUUCUUUCUUUCUUUCUUUCUUUCUUUCUUUCUUUCUUUCUUUCUUCCUUUCAUUAAGUUGUACAAGAUGCACCAUUUCUGAGGACUUCUGGCACAGUGGCCUGCACUGUUUAAAGUUCGCAAGAUCAGUGCUGAAUUGAAAAUAAUCACCACAGUCCGACUGCAAUGGCCUGCCCUGUUCCAAGUCCACAAGGUCAUGGAUGAAGUUGCCGUAGACGAAGCAAUUGAAGACAUCACUAUUGGAAUCUGCUCUGACAGAAGAUUGGGCAUCCCACCCUUAGGACAUUGUCAGUUUUAGUGUAUGUCUGUCACACACGUGACACCCAAUCGGAAAGGACUCUUUUUUUUCAGCAACUAAAAAACAGCAGUUAUUUUUGUUUCUUUAAGUGAAAUGUACCUUUUUUUCUAGAGAUCUAUUUGCUUGUAUGCACUUCCAGCUCCUUGCUGGUUUAAGAAUAGCACUUGAGUGUGCAUAUGUUUUGUACAUACUGUGUUGAUUUUGACCCAAACUAAAGACAAACAAAAUACCAAGACUAGACUUAAAUAAGACUGGGUAAUAACACAAAUGUGGUCACCAAAGAGGACAACCAAAUGAAUGGUGGACUGCCAGAUGCACGUGCACAUGCAUACAGUAUACGCGCAUGAACGCACACACGCACACCUACUAGUGUGGACUAAUGCACUUGGUCAAUGAGCUAAAAGAACUGUAUGUAGAGUGAAUUUUAUUUGUGUCCGAUGUGUUCACAUGAAUGCUAAUCCAGCCAGAGAGCACUUUUUCACAGCAACCAAACAAAUCAUUUUCUUAAAGGUGCACUGUGUAGGAUGGUGACCAGAGUAGGCAACUAUGCUGCACAUUGAAACGGUGCUGCCUAUUACCAACUUUGUCCUUUUCAUGAAUAUUUACUUAGUAAUAAACGAAAAUGUGUUAGUAUGACCAAGGUUCAGUAAGUUUACUAAGAAACUUCAUUUCUAGAAAUUCAAAAUGACAGCCAGUGGAGAAGAUUCCUCUUUCCUCCUCCCCCUUUCAUGUAUGGAAAGAGCAAUUUCCCCAGUCAUAACGACAACUUUAAAGUUUGGUGGUGGUAAAUAUUCAUGAAAAAUGCAACAUUUGUGCAUGGGCAGCAUGAAAUCUCAAAAUAAACUACUGAAAAUAAUACACAGUGCACCUUUAAAGCGAAUUGGACUUUCUUUUUGUUCACAGACUCUGCUCGUUGUAUUUCCUGCUCGUUGAU